rnacentral:lncRNA from 1 species
AUGGAAGACUGUUGGCAACAGGUUACCCAUCGCAUAUUCCAUGAUAGCCAGCCUCUCGAGAUGAAUAUCAUGAAUCCCCAGAGACAACUGGACAAGUGGGCCUUGCGUGUACAGAUGGAACAACCAUGGCGCCAGUGGCCUUGAGUGGCCCGGGAUGGAAGACUGUUCGCAACAGAGAACCUGUCGCAUAUUCCAUAACAACUGUCCUGGCAAGACAAGGCAUGUGAGCCCCCAGGGACUUCUGGGCAAUUGGCCCUUC